rnacentral:rRNA from 1 species
UACGUAGGGUGCAAGCGUUGUCCGGAAUUAUUGGGCGUAAAGAGCUUGUAGGCGGUUUGUCGCGUCUGCUGUGAAAUUUCGGGGCUCAACCCCGAACUUGCAGUGGGUACGGGCAGACUAGAGUGUGGUAGGGGAGACUGGAAAUUCCUGGUGUAGCGGUGAAAUGCGCAGAUAUCAGGAGGAACACCGAUGGCGAAGGCAGGUCUCUGGGCCAUAACUGACGCUGAGAAGCGAAAGCAUGGGGAGCGAACAGG